UGACCUACGGGGCGCAGCAGUGGGGAAUAUUGCACAAUGGGGGAAACCCUGAUGCAGCGACGCCGCGUGAGUGAGGAAGUAUUUCGGUAUGUAAAGCUCUAUCAGCAGGGAAGAAAAUGACGGUACCUGACUAAGAAGCCCCGGCUAACUACGUGCCAGCAGCCGCGGUAAUACGUAGGGGGCAAGCGUUAUCCGGAUUUACUGGGUGUAAAGGGAGCGUAGACGGCUAAUCAAGUCAGAAGUGAAAACCCAGGGCUCAACCUUGGGACUGCUUUUGAAACUGUCAGGCUGGAGUGCAGGAGAGG
rnacentral:rRNA from 1 species